rnacentral:rRNA from 1 species
UACGUAGGUGGCAAGCGUUGUCCGGAGUUACUGGGUGUAAAGGGCGUGUAGGCGGGUUAUCAAGUCAGAUGUGAAAUUCCAUGGCUCAACUGUGGCGCUGCAUCUGAAACUGGUAAUCUUGAGUGAUGGAGAGGAAAGCGGAAUUCCUAGUGUAGCGGUGAAAUGCGUAGAUAUUAGGAGGAACACCAGUGGCGAAGGCGGCUUUCUGGACAUUAACUGACGCUGAGGCGCGAAAGCGUGGGGAGCAAACAGG